UACAGAGGUCUCAAGCGUUUGUUCGGAUUCAUUGGGCGUAAAGGGUGCGUAGGUGGCGCCGUAAGUCGGGUGUGAAAUUUCGGAGCUUAACUCCGAAACUGCAUUCGAUACUGCGGUGCUUGAGGACUGGAGAGGAGACUGGAAUUCAUGGUGUAGCAGUGAAAUGCGUAGAGAUCAUGAGGAAGACCAGUGGCGAAGGCGGGUCUCUGGACAGUUCCUGACACUGAGGCACGAAGGCCAGGGGAGCAAACGGG
rnacentral:rRNA from 1 species